GCUCAGUUGUUAGAGCACUCCAUUGGAAAUGGAGAGGUCUCUGGUUCGAUACCAGG
rnacentral:tRNA from 1 species